AACGAACGCUGGCGGCAGGCCUAACACAUGCAAGUCGAACGCCCCGCAAGGGGAGUGGCAGACGGGUGAGUAACGCGUGGGAACCUUCCCAGUGGUACGGAAUAACCCAGGGAAACCUGAGCUAAUACCGUAUACGCCCGAAAGGGGAAAGAUUUAUCGCCAUUGGAUGGGCCCGAGUCGGAUUAGCUAGUUGGUGAGGUAACGGCUCACCAAGGCGACGAUCCGUAGCUGGUCUGAGAGGAUGAUCAGCCACACUGGGACUGAGACACGGCCCAGACUCCUACGGGAGGCAGCAGUGGGGAAUAUUGGACAAUGGGCGCAAGCCUGAUCCAGCCAUGCCGCGUGAGUGAAGAAGGUCUUCGGAUUGUAAAGCUCUUUUGGCGGGGACGAUAAUGACGGUACCCGCAGAAUAAGCCCCGGCUAACUUCGUGCCAGCCGCCGCGGUAAAAC
rnacentral:rRNA from 1 species